rnacentral:tRNA from 1 species
GGGCAUUUGGUCUAGUGGUAUGAUUCUCGCUUAGGGUGCAAAAGGUCCCGAGUUCAAUUCUCGGAAUGCCCC